GUUGCAAGCAACCAGCAGUUUCCACGUCCCUCAAGAUAAGUCAAAAGAAAAACAACCCAAUUGCCCAAUCCACUAAAUCAUCGCAUCUAACUCCCCUCCCCAUCUACACUUUAACAAAAAUCAGAUCACCGCCGCCACCACCGCCUCAUCCACGCAGCCUCGCCCAUACUGCGCUGAGCCGCCGCCGCUGCCUCAUCCUCGUAGCCUUGCCCAUACCGCGCUGAGCCACGGUGUCUUCGUCGCAACCAUGUCCUCGGCCCCUUGCACAAGCCCCAGACUCAGUCACCGCCUGUGCCUCCAAGUCAUCGCCGGAGAGGAGCCAUGAACUGGAUCUGUUGUCCUGUUUAGUUGCACAUGAAGGCUUUCUGAAGAUACCUUGAGUGAUGGAACGCUGAUGACAGAGUUUCAAGAAACUAGCUAAUGGUGAUCUAGAGAUGACAAGCUACGAGAAAUUACUGCUGAUCUCAAGAUGCGUCUUUAAGGGAGAGUUUAGCCUGGUCCAUUUUAUUCUUCAUUAGAUGAUUCAACAUAGUAUGCCAGAUGAUAUGUUAGUUUGGCAAUGCAAAAGGCAUUUUGUAAGAUUAUAUUGUACCUGAAGAAACACCAUUUAUUUAU